rnacentral:misc_RNA from 1 species
GCGGACAAAGGUCUAAAAAAGCCCCUCUACACAUCUGCACGGUUGAAGAAGGGAGAAGUUUUAUAUCUAGAAACACAUUCGUGUAGGUAUGAACUCUGCUUUUCCGGAGAGAAGAUGGUGAAAACCAUUGUAUCAUCUCAAGGGCAUGAAACUGAAGCCGAGAAGUCUCAAAAUCACUUUGUACACUGCCCAAAUGGUGAAAGAACCGAUAACGAUAAUGCUUUGAUCGAUGUGUUUCGGUGGUCUCGCUGUAAGAAGCCACUGCCUCAGAAGGUUAUGCGUUCUAUUGGGAUUCCACUGCCUUCGGAACACGUAGAGGUACUCGAGGAUAAUCUGGACUGGGAAGAUGUACAGUGGUCACAGACUGGCGUUUGGAUAGCUGGGAAGGAAUAUCUACUUGCUCGUGUGCAUUUCCUAUCCAUGAAUUAGUUCCAUUUUAAUGUUCAUCUUGUAACUUUUUAGAUGUAUGAGAAUAUGUAUUUCAUAAUCAUAUUUCAGAGUAAGGAG